rnacentral:rRNA from 1 species
AUUGAACGCUGGCGGCAUGCCUUACACAUGCAAGUCGAACGGUAACAGGUCUUCGGAUGCUGACGAGUGGCGAACGGGUGAGUAAUACAUCGGAACGUGCCCGAGAGUGGGGGAUAACGAGGCGAAAGCUUUGCUAAUACCGCAUACGAUCUCAGGAUGAAAGCAGGGGACCGCAAGGCCUUGCGCUAAUAGAUGAGCCUAAGUCGGAUUAGGUAGUUGGUGGGAUAAAAGCUUACCAAGCCGACGAUCUGUAGCUGGUCUGAGAGGACGACCAGCCACACUGGGACUGAGACACGGCCCAGACUCCUACGGGAGGCAGCAGUGGGGAAUUUUGGACAAUGGGCGCAAGCCUGAUCCAGCCAUGCCGCGUGCAGGAUGAAGGCCUUCGGGUUGUAAACUGCUUUUGUACGGAACGAAAAGACUCCUUCUAAUAAAGGGGGUCCAUGACGGUACCGUAAGAAUAAGCACCGUCUAACUACGUGCCAGCAGCCGCGGUAACAC